AAGAUCCCCUGCACUGCAUCCAGCUUGGAAUGAAGCUCCUCAAUGCGCCUUUCUGUCCUUCGUUUGGACUUCAGACAUCUCAGUGCCAGUUGCUUUUUCCCAGCUCUGCAAGCACUCCGGGCAUCAUCUUUACACUUCUCUGCUUCCUGGGAAAGGGACUCCACCUUCUGUGACAGCAGCUGUUCACUUUGCAUCAGCUGAUAGACUCCGAUGUCCACAUCAUUCAUUGGAGAGACUUUGGCAUGAAGUCCUCUGGCAAACUUCACUAUCUUCUCUCCGUUCUGUUCCAGAAUUGUGACCUUCUUUUCCUUUUGCAGCUGGAGCAGCAGUAAGUAGAAUGUUCUUUCAUCUGGACAAACACCAGCACAGAGGGAACGCAGCUCUGAGAGGGCGACGACGGGGUGAGAUGAAAGCACAGAGUUCUGAUACAGGCGAUAAACUUCCUCUGCUUUCUCCUGAAGUAGCUCCACAUAAAUCAGAACUUCCUCCUCCUCGGGUACUUUGCUGUCACCCAGCACACUUGAGAGAGUCCACUUCAGGGGCUUCAGGAUGAAGACUCCCACACCCCAGGAGAUCCAACUGCUGUCCACGCUGGCCAUGAAGUCUGACUCCCUCUGCAUCUUGCCACGUCUGAGCAGCUCCCGCAGCACGGUGCCGAGGCCCAGCGGCACACUGCCCCGCCGCUCGAAGCCGUUCUGCAGCUCGCGGAGACAGGUGCGCACCACACCGCGGCGGCGGCCCCGGGCCAACACCAGCCCGACCCAGAAGGCCAUCUUGCUGUCCCACUCGGUGCUGUUCACUUCGCGGCUCUGCUUGAAAGCCGAGAAGAGAAAAGCCAUGCGCUCGUCGUCCGUCUCCCACUCGGGCGGCAGGUCCCCCGCCGGGGCCGGCCCAGGGGGCGCCCUCCCCGGGCUGCACAUCUACGCGAGCCCCCGGCUUCGCCGCGGCCUCCGCCAGGCCGGGACCCGCCUGGCUGCCAGGGACGCGCGACGCGCAUGCGCGCCGCUCCCCCCCCCACC
rnacentral:lncRNA from 1 species